rnacentral:misc_RNA from 1 species
GAUGAAGAACGUAGCAAAAUGCGAUAAGUAAUGUGAAUUGCAGAAUUCAGUGAAUCAUCGAAUCUUUGAACGCACAUUGCGCCCGCUGGUAUUCCGGCGGGCAUGCCUGUUCGAGCGUCAUUUCAACCCUCAAACCCCCCGGGUUUGGUGUUGGGGAUCGGCUCUGCCUCACGGCGGUGCCGCCUCCGAAAUACAUUGGCGGUCUCGCUGCAGCCUCCAUUGCGUAGUAGCUAACACCUCGCAACUGGAACGCGGCGCGGCCAUGCCGUAAAACCCCAACUUCUGAAUGUUGACCUCGGAUCAGGUAGGAAUACCCGCUGAACUUAAGCAUAUCAAUAAGCGGAGGA